rnacentral:rRNA from 1 species
UACGUGGGGCGCAAGCGUUGUCCGGAAUUAUUGGGCGUAAAGAGCUCGUUGGCGGUCUGUCGCGUCUGCCGUGAAAUCCCGAGGCUUAACCUCGGGCCUGCGGUGGAUACGGGCAGACUAGAGGUAGGUAGGGGAGAAUGGAAUUCCCGGUGUAGCGGUGAAAUGCGCAGAUAUCGGGAGGAACACCGGUGGCGAAGGCGGUUCUCUGGGCCUUACCUGACGCUGAGGAGCGAAAGCGUGGGGAGCGAACAGG